UACGUAGGUGGCAAGCGUUAUCCGGAAUUAUUGGGCGUAAAGAGCGCGCAGGUGGUUGAUUAAGUCGGAUGUGAAAUCCCGCGGCUCAACCGUGGAAGUGCAUCCGAAACUGCGUGGCUAGAGUCCCUGAGAGGAAGGUGGAAUACUUGGUGUAGAGGUGAAAUUCGUAGAUAUCAAGUGGAACACCGGUGGCGAAGGCGGCCUUCUGGACGGUGACUGACGCUGAGACGCGAAAGCGUGGGUAGCAAACAGGAUUAGAUACCCUGGUA
rnacentral:rRNA from 1 species